rnacentral:rRNA from 1 species
AACGAACGCUGGCGGCAGGCUUAACACAUGCAAGUCGAGCGCCCCGCAAGGGGCGCGGCAGACGGGUGAGCAACGCGCGGGAACGUCCCCUUUGGUUCGGAACAACUCCGGGAAACUGGAGCUCAUACCGGAUAAGCCCUAACGGGGAAAGAUUUAUCGCCGCAAGAUCGGCCCGCGUCUGAUUAGCUAGUUGGUGAGGUAACGGCUCACCAAGGCGACGAUCAGUAGCUGGUCUGAGAGGAUGAUCAGCCACACUGGGACUGAGACACGGCCCAGACUCCUACGGGAGGCAGCAGUGGGGAAUAUUGGACAAUGGGCGCAAGCCUGAUCCAGCCAUGCCGCGUGAGUGAUGAAGGCCUUAGGGUUGUAAAGCUCUUUUGUCCGGGAAGAUAAUGACUGUACCGGAAGAAUAAGCCCCGGCUAACUUCGUG